GCCAGUGUUCGUGGAGUCGUUGUUGAAAUACCACUCUGAUCGUAUUGGAUACCUCAACCUCGGACCAUGAUCUGGUUCAGGGACAGUGCCUGGUGGGUAGUUUAACUGGGGCGGUUGCCUCCCAAAAUGUAACGGAGGCGCCCAAAGGUUCCCUCAGCCUGGUUGGCAAUCAGGUGUUGAGUGCAAGUGCACAAGGGAGCUUGACUGUGAGACUGACAGGUCGAGCAGGGACGAAAGUCGGGACUAGUGAUCCGGCACCGGCAAGUGGAAGCGGUGUCGCUCAACGGAUAAAAGGUACCC
rnacentral:rRNA from 1 species